CGCUCUGAUGCAGUAGUGAGUCAUUUAGCAGACACUCUGAUCCAGUAGUGAGUCAUUUAGCAGACACUCUGAUCCAGUAGUGAGUCAUUUAGCAGACACUCUGAUCCAGAGGUGAGUCAUUUAGCAGACUCUCUGAUCCAGUAGUGAGUCAUUUAGCAGACGCUCUGAUGCAGAGGUGAGUCAUUUAGCAGACGCUCUGAUGCAGUAGUGAAUCAUUUAGCAGACACUCUGAUCCAGUAGUGAGUCAUUUAGCAGACGCUCUGAUGCAGAGGUGAGUCAUUUAGCAGACGCUCUGAUCCAGUAGUGAGUCAUUUAGCAGACGCUCUGAUCCAGUAGUGAGUCAUUUAGCAGACACUCUGAUGCAGAGGUGAGUCAUUUAGCAGACACUCUGAUCCAGUAGUGAGUCAUUUAGCAGACGCUCUGAUCCAGUAGUGAGUCAUUUAGCAGACGCUCUGAUCCAGUAGUGAGUCAUUUAGCAGACGCUCUGAUCCAGUAGUGAGUCAUUUAGCAGACGCUCUGAUCCAGUAGUGAGUCAUUUAGCAGACGCUCUGAUCCAGUAGUGAGUCAUUUAGCAGACGCUCUGAUGCAGUAGUGAGUCAUUUAGCAGACGCUCUGAUCCAGUAGUGAGUCAUUUAGCAGACGCUCUGAUCCAGUAGUGAGUCAUUUAGCAGACGCUCUGAUGCAGUAGUGAGUCAUUUAGCAGACGCUCUGAUCCAGUAGUGAGUCAUUUAGCAGACGCUCUGAUCCAGUAGUGAGUCAUUUAGCAGACGCUCUGAUCCAGUAGUGAGUCAUUUAGCAGACGCUCUGAUGCAGAGGUGAAUCAUUUAGCAGACGCUCUGAUGCAGAGGUGAGUCAUUUAGCAGACGCUCUGAUGCAGAGGUGAGUCAUUUAGCAGACGCUCUGAUGCAGUAGUGAGUCAUUUAGCAGACGCUCUGAUGCAGCAGUGAGUCAUUUAGCAGACGCUCUGAUCCAGUAGUGAGUCAUUUAGCAGACGCUCUGAUCCAGUUAUGAGUCAUUUAGCAGACGGUCUGAUCCAGUAGUGAGUCAUUUAGCAGACGCCCUGAUCCAGUAG